GUGGGGAAUAUUGGACAAUGGGCGCAAGCCUGAUCCAGCCAUGCCGCGUGAGUGAUGAAGGCCUUAGGGUUGUAAAGCUCUUUCAGUGGGGACGAUAAUGACGGUACCCACAGAAGAAGCCCCGGCUAACUUCGUGCCAGCAGCCGCGGUAAUACGAAGGGGGCUAGCGUUGUUCGGAUUUACUGGGCGUAAAGCGCACGUAGGCGGAUUGGUCAGUUAGAGGUGAAAUCCUGGAGCUCAACUCCAGAACUGCCUUUAAUACUGCCAGUCUAGAGUCCAGAAGAGGUGAGUGGAACUCCUAGUGUAGAGGUGGAAUUCGUAGAUAUUAGGAAGAACACCAGUGGCGAAGGCGGCUCACUGGUCUGGUACUGACGCUGAGGUGCGAAAGCGUGGGGAGCAAACAGGAUUAGAAACCCUAGUAGUCC
rnacentral:rRNA from 1 species